GGGAGAGCAACUUCCCCUCUAUUUCCACUUCAAAUGAGCCACCAUAACACAUUCAGAGCUGCUUUGGGGUUGGGGUUAAAUUAGGGCAAGAAGAAAGAGUUGGGGGGGGGGGAUAGAGAUUAAGGUUUGGGUAUGGGAAGAUCAUCCAGCAAUAGAGGUCAAUGCAAAAAUCCCCAUCUUCCUUUGAGGAAAGUUUGGAUAUAAACACACACAUAUACAUACUAGUUAUGUAUAUAUAUAUAUUAUAUAUAUGUAUAUAUAAUUCUCCUCCACAGUUAGCAUUUCUUCCAAAAAUAAAACAUUUAAAGCUGUAUAUUUAAAGAUUAUCUAUGUGCACUGCACCAGAUAACCAAGUACCGUAGUGAUAUUAUCCGGCUAAGGGAAUACUCUAUUUGUGUGGGUUUUCACACAUACACACAGAUAUUUAAGUUCAAUUUGUUGUACCAUUUUUUUGUGUGUGUGAUGACUAGGACAAAAAAAAGGGCCAUCUCUCUCUUUCUUGGGGAGAGGUGGAAUAUGUGACUUUUCUCUGUAUGGGAGAAACAAAAACACAACCGCACUGGGGCAGGGAGAAGGUCGCUAGGCCAACUAAAUUGGAAGUUGGAUGGGCCUUGCUUUUUCUGGAGAAAGGUGGUUCGGGAAGAGGAAAGGGGGGGGGGGUAAACGGUGAGAGGGCUGAGGAAAAAAGGAAGGGAAGAGUCAGUUCAAAAAAAAAAAGGAAGAAAAGGAAGGAGGGGAAAAUACUCGGAAAGCUUAAAUAAAAGAUACAAGAAGAAAGGGGAAAAAAGCAGGCUCAGUCAUGGCCGCCCAGUUGAGAGCUCAGUCACAAACAUACAUACAUACACACACAAACGCGCACACAUACACACACAUACAUACACGCGCACGCAGGCGCGCACACGGCGGGCAGCAAGCACUGCGCUUUGGUGCGCUCCUCGUCUCCCCCCCUCCCACCCCCCGUCUCCAAGAUGGGGGGCAGGGGAGGUGGAGACGGAGGGCAGUGGGGUGUGCAAGGGUCGGACUAAGCUCCUCACCCCACCCACAAGUCUUCGUAAGGUCCCUGGUGAGUCCCACCUGCCCCCUGUGGAUCAAGGCGAUCCGAGUUGAACAAAGCGGGCUAGACGCCACCUUUCCACACCCCCCCUACCCAGUGAAGGGCGGCGGCGAGGGGGAAGGUUCCCCCAUCUGGACCCCGACUCCUAGGCUAGUGCCGAGGGGGUGGGUAAGAAGCAUCACAGGGGAGUUGGGAGCCGUGCGUCCAGGGAGAGGCCAGGGCGCGGCCCCUGCGCCUCCGCGGCGGGGUGCCCCAUUGCUUUCAAGACAGCAACGG
rnacentral:lncRNA from 1 species